rnacentral:rRNA from 1 species
AUAUCAAUAAGCGGAGGAAAAGAAACUAACAAGGAUUCCCCUAGUAACGGCGAGUGAAGCGGGAAGAGCUCAAAUUUAAAAUCUAGUUUGCUUGCAAACUCGAGUUGUAGUCUGAAGAAACGUUUUCCAUGGAAGCUGAGGCACAAGUCCUUUGGAACAGGGCAUCAUAGAGGGUGAGAAUCCCGUCCAUGGUCUCAAGUCUUUCAUUUUGUGAUACGUUUUCUAAGAGUCAGGUUGUUUUGGGAAUGCAGCCUAAAAAUGGGUGGUAAAUUUCAUCUAAAGCUAAAUAUUGGCGAGAGACCGAUAGCGAACGAGUACCGUGAGGGAAAGAUGAAAAGAACUUUGAAAAGAGAGUUAAAACAGUAG